GUCACUUUCUGUGUGGGGUCCAGCCUGAGGAUGCUUUCCACCCUCAGCCCAUGUGAUGAGACUUCCUGUGUACCAUCAUCAAAGCUUCCCCCGGCAGCAGCAGCAGCACUGAAGGCCAGUCUACUCACUUCCUGCCCGUAUCAGAUCCCAGCUGGGUUGGAGAUCUAAAUUGACAUAAGAUAAAUUAACUGGACAAAACCAUACAGAUGUAUUUAAUACAAGUGUUAUGCAGCAUGGGAGCCCUCAUAAAGAAAUGAAGAACCAAAGAAGCAGUUAGAAUCACUUACACUCUGGAAACUACCUUUCUACACUCUAUUUCUUAAAGAUUGACUCUUCUCGAUUCCACAUAUAGACAUUCUACAUUAUCUUAUUUUUAGAUGUGUCUCUUACACAGAGCACGUAGUCGGAUUUCGUUUUGGGGAGACAGUCAUUUUUUCACAUGUACCAUUUCCCAAGUAAUAAGCUAAAUAUAGUUCUUGAUAGACAACAACCACGAAGCCAUGGACGUCCAAGAUACAUCAACGUCUAAACUCACACGUAGACUGGGAAGUGCACAGCCCGAUUCCCUCCUGGAUCAAGAUAGACAACUAGAUGUUUUUAAUCCACUGUGAACUGGGUUGUCAGCCGCUCAAAGCCGAGGUGGUGAGUCCUGCUAGUUGAACCCCUGCAGAAUGAAUCUCCCACAAAAGACAGGGUUGACCUUCUCUCCGUGAUCUUCAUGGGAGCCCUCAGAGAAUUUAGAAACGUAAUAGUCCCAAAGACAAAGAAUAUGGGAAUCGCUUUCGGAUACCACCCUUCAGAGUUCCUGAACCUUCAUCAGCUGGCACGUUUCCACAUCUGCAUCCGAGCUGUACGCUAGACCACGGGCUUCUCAAAGGCAUGACCAGAGCCAUAUCCAUCUUUAUCACCCCAGAGCCCAGGACAAAGCCAAUCAGGAAAGAAUUGAUGCCCAGAUAAUACCUAGUGAAGAACAAAUUAAUAAAUGGUUCCUUUCAUAAAAUAAUAUUCUUCAACUCUCUAAGGACAGGGAUUCUAGUUUGGUGAUAAAUAAAUUACUUAAUUGGACUUGGUUCCUGUUAAAAGGGUAAGAACUGAAUUCAGGCAGGAAGUGAAGAUGUGUGCUGGAGACACUCCUGAUGUCCUGAAGGCGGAGGAACGGCAAGGAUGGCUCUGGGUUCAGCCAGGCUGGGAUGAGCAGUGGCACACGCUUGCCGGUGGACAUACCUCUCUGAGCACUCCGAAAGUCUGGCCAGUGUGGUGACCAGCUGGCUCCUGUCUGUGUCCAGGCCAAGCGCCAGGAACUCAGGCCUGAGAACGAGGCUGUUAUUUAGUACUCAAACGGGAACUCAGCAACCAUGGGCUGUCUUUACCAUCCAUAACAAUCUACUGCUGUGUCUAUUUCCAACAAAGCACAAAAAGACGUGUGUCUGGUGGAGAGGACCGAGUCUCGGUUGUAUUAGAGUGUCAUCCCUCUGAUCAAAUGGUCAUUGUGUUUGCUUAGAUCCAGAGACAUGGGAGCUCAGAGUCAAACACGGGUUAUCUUCUAGGUGGUGGCAUUUCACAAUCACGUGAUGAGGGGAAUUACUCGGACCAUCCAAGCCUCAGUUUUCUUACCUACGGAACAUGAUGGCAGGUUCUAGUCUGCAGGGACAGGCGGCUCAUGCAGAUGAAGAGUUGUGCUGGCGUCACCUAGGAACUCAGUAAAUACCCACUGCUUUCCUGCAAGGCUGGACUAGGGGAGGCUCGAGAAGAAAGGAAGCUCUUUCUCUCUGAUGUCUGUCUUCUUAAUUGUCCGCCCCCCCCGGGCCCCGGGCAUGCUGCUGGGCCAGAGCACCUGCUGCCGUGGCUCUUGGCACAGGGUCUUUUUACUGAAGACUCCCGUGGAAGACAACAGAACACAAAUUUCCGUCAGCCUACAGCUUUUUAAAAAUUUUUUUGUAUUAUACUUUAGGUUCUGGGGUACAUGUGCAGAUCACGCAGGGUUGUUACACAGGUAUACAUAUGCCAUGGCAGUUUGCUGCAUCCAUCCCCCCGUCAUCUACAUUAGGUAUUUCUCCUAAUGUUAUCCCUCUCCAAUACUCCCACCCCUGCUAUCCCUCCUCUAACUCCACAACCCCCCAGCCUAGAGCUUUUCUUAAAGACCAAGUGAUAAAACACUUGAAUUAAAUAAGUUUUCCUCACAGGAAAAUCUCACACACCUCUACCCACCUAAAACUCAAAUGAAGCAAGUUCAUCAACUUCUUGUUUCCUUAUAGAUAUUUCUAGAAUAGAGUUUAAUGAGUGUCAUAAUAUCUCACACAUAUUUUCAAGCAAAAGGAACGUUAUAUCACCAAUACACCUCGAGGGUCAAUAAGAACGAUCACUUACGAAGAUGGAAAUUUCUCCAUGUAAAACGGAACAGCAAAUACCAUCUUGCCACAGCGCAUCUCUUCCCAGAACCACCCGUGCACUUUCCUGGUGCUCCCUGCCCACAAAUGGGAGACACAAACUAAGAUGCCUCAGGAGGAACAUCACGGUGUGAACUCUGAAGUUACAGGAGACACAGAAUUGCGGGGCAGCUGCGGAUGCGAGAGCACUUAUUCCUCUAAAAGUUGUUUAAAUUUUCUCUUUUUAUUUUUUAUUUUAUUAAUAAUUUUUAUCUGUUGCCCAGACUGGAGUGCAGUGGUGUGAUCUCCGCUCACUGUAACCUCGACUUCCUGGGCUCAAUUGAUCCUCCUGCCUCAACCUCCUGAGCAGCUGAGACCACAGGUCCACGCCACCAUGCCUGGCCAAUUUUUGUAGUUUUUAUAGACAUGGAGUUUUGCCAUGUUGCCCAGGCUGGUCUCCAACUCCUGGGCUCAAAUGAUCCGCCUGCCUGCACUUCCCAAAGUGCUGGGAUUACAGGAGUGAGCCACCACCCUAGCCUCCAUUUUUUCUCCCGAUUUAAAGGACUAUGACACUCCCAAGUGUGCGUGUGCACACACACACACACACACUCUCUCUCUCUCUCUCAUACACACACACACACACAGACACACACUGAUGGCCUAAAUUCUUGCCGUCACCCACACAUAUCAGGUAUUCCUUUAUAGCAAUGUACAAAAAUGGCCUAAUAUAUGCAGCAAAGGGUGUUAUAAGAAAAUUGCCUUCCCUUCGGAGGGGAUAGUCAUCCCUGUGUGUGCUGCCUAGACCUGGGUAUUCAACACACAGCGCAUACGCUCCCUGAGUCUGUCAUAUACCAUGGCAGAGGCCACUUAAACUCAUGCCAUAUAGUGUGAGUUUAAAUGUCCAGAGUUCAAUGUAGACAUGCUGAGAGCUUCUGAGAGUCAUUUUCCUGAAUGCAGGAUGCAUGGUUCAUGGGCUUACUCAAUUAAAAGAAAAAGAAACAGCUUAUAUGUUCAGAUAAUGCAGGUUCUCUCUCCUGCGGCUUCUGCGAAUAAAAGUUUUGGUGAAGACAGACUCACACUCUGGAACAGAGGCCUGGCCCACUUGCCUUAGGAUGCUGGCAAAGCUCAUGCUUCUUGUUCUGUCAGGUCCCGUUUCAGAAAUUGCCUCUGCAAGUCUAACACAUUUAAUUGAGAGAGUGGAGAGGGGGGCAUUCAAAAAGAUUACAGAGGAAGGUGAGGCAUUUGUCCAAUCGGUUCCACUUCCAGGGGCCCUCCGUUGUUCUUGGAGGGGAGCCAGGCCUGUAACUGGGGUAUUUUGCAUCUGUUUAUCCUUUUAGUCAAAUGCCUUUUGUCUAAGCCGUUGACUUUGGAGCAAAAAUGUACUGACCUUCACAGACCGUUCUCAAACCUGGGAUAAAAGAAACUCAUUUUUUUUCCUCAAAGAAUGAACUUAGAAAAUCCACCUCCUCCCUCAUCCCUUUUGCCAGAGACGCCCACUAGGGGCUGUUGCUAAAAAGAGUGGCCCAAUUCAACGGAGGUGCCUAGCUCAAGCCACACGCAAGUUCAGACCGCCUUUCGGGGGGAGUGUUAUCAAUAGUUUAUUCAAUGGUGCUAACCUCAUUGCAUCAUGGGACUUGAACUUGCCAAUGUGACAGGAAGCUGGGAGUCUAAACCCCAGUGCAUUCUACGUAGUGUCAGCAUAGCUACUGCGUAUUGGAUACCCACUACAUGUCAGUUGCUGCUGUGAAUUUUGUACAAGCCCAGAAACAAUCCUGCAAGGAUUUUUAUCCUUAUGAGUAAACUAAGCCUCAAAGGAGCUGUGUAACUGAUCCAGGAUCACAGCCAGCACAUGUCCAAACCAAGGCCUGAACCCAGGACACCUGUGCACCCUCUGCUUUCAUCUGCCUGUCACGUGAAGCACAUGCUGGGCACCUCCUCUUUGCCAGGCUCUGUGCCACCUGCCGGAGCAUCCAAGAUCAACCAGGCAGGCCAGAUCUCUCAGAAAGUUCAGGCUUGAUGUGAGUGCUCACAGAAGCAGGACUUGAGACAGUGAUUGGUGACAAGUUGCUUAUUUGGAAGGUGACUCCAGAAAGCACUAGUGAGGGACUUGGAAUAGGAGACAGAGAGAUGGGAAAUUUGUGACAAAGGGUUACACCACCAAGCAAGAUACUUCAGAGAACAAUAGGCUCAGUCUUAGGAACUCUAGGAGGUGAUAUUCUGCACCCACAAAUCAGGUACUAGGGAGCUAGCGUGUUUAGCCACCAAUAUGCCAUCCAUCAGUAUUGAUGGUUUUUCCAAGGGCAUUGAAUGUAAAGCAUUUUUGUCUUCCCAUGUACGUGGGCAGUGCUCUUCCUUCCUAGAAAGAGUCCUCAGACAGACAUUAACUGCAAGCAGGCAAAGAGCUGGCAUUUUUUGAGCAUCUCCUGCAUGUCAGGCACAGGGCAUCUAUUUACCUACCUCAUAGGGAGACAGGCAGCAUGUAUUUACAAUAAUGGGUGCAGGUAUCUGGACUCCACAUUUAUAAACUGUGGGAUCUUGAACAGAUGGCUACAUCCAAUGUCUGCCGCAAGAAGGGAAUGGUGAUAAUGCCCACCCCAAAGAAUAAACCAUGGAUUGAACAAGAUUGUAUGUGUGUAAAGCAGUCAGGGUAAUAAUAUCUACAGCCUAGUGAGUUCUUAAAAGUGGUUCACACAUUUAUAAGCCAUAAAAUCCUUAGCUCGUUAAAUCCUUACAAUGACCUGUGGUGAAACAGAGUCCCAUGGAGGCUAAACGAUGUGCCUAGUAUCCUCAAGACCUCAAAAAGAAGUGAUCCAGGCUGGGCAUGGUGGCUCAUGCCUGUAAUCCCAGCACUUUGGGAGGCCGAGGUUGGCAGAUCACCUGAGGCCAGGAGUUUGAGACCAGCCUAAUCAACCCCAUCUACAUUAAAAAUGCAAAAAUUAGCUGGGCAUGGUGGGCAGUGUCUGUAAUCCCAGCUACUCAGGAGGCUGAGGCAGGAGAAUUGCUUGAACUUGGGAGGCGGAGGUUGCAAUGAGCCAAGAUUGUGCCAUGGCAAUGGAGUAAAACUCCUACUCAAAAAAAAAAACAAAAAAGAAAUGAUCCAGGUCUGUGUGACAACAGCUCCCGGAGGCCACACAGAGCUCCUUAGGGUGCAUGGCACCAUGAAAUUCAGUGUGAGUCCCUUUCUGCCAAUGCGUGCCUUCUCCCCACUCCAAGGAGUUCAUGGCUCAGAGAGAGCUCCUCGCCCGGCUGUCCAGCAUCUGUAUUGGAAGUGGUGAACUUCGUAGGUGAGUUCCCUUCCAGAUUUAUAAAAUAUCCAUUCCCCCAAGUGCUCGACAUGGAAACGUCAGAGAGUCAAAGACACUCGUUAAUGUUCAAUAUUUCUGUGAUUAACGUUUUAUUGGACGGUGGGCAAGAGAAAUGCUAUCCAGGCACAAAAGAAAUAAUUCAAAUAGGGGACAUUGUCUGUUGCAUAAAACCUCCAUUCAAAGAUUUUGUAAAAAUAUUUUAAAAGUGACUUUGGAAGGAAGCUUCAACCUGAGGAGAGGGAUCAAAUGUAGAAUUGAUGGCUUCAGGGUGGAAUUUUUCCCUUCAGUAACUCAGCCAUCCUGAUAGAGAUAAUGAUGUCCACCUGUCAAGGCGAGGAGGCAGGCGUGCUGCAGAGAAAGAUAUCGAGGACCUUCACAGAGCCUGCUCAACUCCGGAAGCUUUGUUAAGGGGCUGGGAGGGAAAGAGCAAUUGCCCUCCCUCUUGUCCUCCCCCCAGCCUCUUUCCCCAAGCCUGAGAGAGGACUGCAAGGCCACUGGUCCCCAGGAAGCUGAUGAGGAUGAGUCCUUCACGGUUCUCUAAGGCUUGUUAAUCACACCAGCUAGCACUCCUCUUCCUACGUGCCCACCACUGUGCAAAGAUCUCUACUUCAAUUAACUCAAGCUUCCCAGUGACCCCACCAUGUGGGUAUCAGCAUCCUUAUUUUACAGAUGAGGAAAGUGGAACCUGAGGAGCUCGGUCUUACUAAUCCACAGUCACUCAAUCAUGACCUGGCACACCGAGAGAGCCUGAGCCCUAAAUCACCAUGCCGCCCUGCUCCACACUCUGCAUCUCCUGUGACCCUCACCACAGGGCUGCGAGGAGAUGAAUUUUUUGGCUCAUUUCAGGCUCAGGUGAUCAGGACCAGAGAGAAGUAGUGACUUGUCCAAGGUCGCACAGCCAGUGCAUGGCUCAGCUAGAUCCUCAACCAGUGGCCUGACUGCCAACUGCGUCACCACUGGUGGACAGAUGGAGGGAUGGUUAGCCGAUUUUUCUUCCUUAAUGGUUCACUCGAUUACUGAAUAAGGUAUUCCAGUAGUUUUUGCUAUAAUGAGCUUUUUAUGUUUUAUACGACAGUGCUAAUAAGAGUAGUUUAAAUAGACUUGGAAGUUGUAUUAAUUCCAUCCUUUUUCUUUUAAAAAAAUGGAGCUAAAAAAUUAAGUCACCUGAAGAGAAAUGGAUAUUAUCAUUAUUACACACAGCAGGUAUAAAUAAAUCUGUAUGUGUGCCUAAACUUAC